UAUAAACUAGUUUAUUCAGUCCAUGGUUGUAUACAACAAAUAAUAAACAUCUCCUUGGUACAAAGCAGCAGGAAACAGCUCGCGUCGAACCGGGUCGGCUUUGUACAGAUCCGUAGCAGAGGCCGACAACAAGCAGAAACACAACAUCCCAAGAUCAUGCAACUCGUCAAGCCAUGAUUCCAUCUUCCUCCCAUGCAAUGGAUCGGAUGAACGAAAUGGGAACCGACGGGAAGGUUUUUGUUUCAUUUCAUAGAAAAAAAGAAGGACGAGGGCACCACUCAAACGUUCUCGCAGGCAGAGAGCACCGUUUUAAAGGAUUCCUUUAGGACUGGGCUGUAUCCCCUCUGCAUCCACCAACCAGGACUUCCCGGAAGUAGAAGGCUGGCAGUGGGCAUCAGCUGAGGUUCUGCCUCCUGGUAGUUCCACCCUAAGGGAAGUCUAUGGGCUAAAAUCCACGUUCUGUAUCCAGCCUGUAGUCCCAAAGGAUACAAUCACAUCCAUGCUUGACCCCCACUACUUCUGUUCUCACAUGCCAGUACUGUGACUGUCAGGAGGAAAGCGCAAAUGUCUACAUUGGCUGCUUGAAUGGCAGCAAUUCAUAACUGACAUCUAUUCCAAGCCUGCGUAACUCUUGUUACCUUCCAGCCAAUGGGGUGGACAAGAGUAUCGAGUCAAUCAUCAGCCACGGACUCAAUGGCUCUUCUAGAGUUGGGGUUACCAGUUUGGAUCUUCCCAGAGUAGACUUGCUAAAAUAAAUGGGACCAGUCAUACCUAACCAAAGCUAGGGGAACUCUUGGGACUACAACUCCCAUAACCCACAGACCUAACUGCCUGGGGAAUUCUGGGAGCUGUAGUCCAAAUAUAUAUAUAUAUAUAUAGGGUAACAUUUUCUAACUCGGUAAGUCAACGAAAUCCUAUUGAUGUCAGUGGGUCUACUCUAGGGACAGCAAAGUUUGUAUUUCUGCCAGGAUGAUCCCUCUCUGGCAUCCCAGGACCACCUCCUCUCUGUGGGAAGAUGUGGAGAAAAAAUGUCCCCUUUCUAUCAGCAGGCAUAUAUUCUUUAGGUACAUAUAUAUGUUGUGAUGCUUCCCUCCCAGAAAAAUAUAACAUAAGCUAAAGAAUGGUAUAUUUGUUUUUUCUUUUCUUUUCCUUUCUUUCUUUUUUUUUUUUUUACAAAUACGAUUUUUCCCCACUUAUAAAAAUGGUUAAGUUCCUUUAAUUCCACAGUUUUUGUCUUUAGAAAAAAGAAGCCGUGACAACAGGGUUGUUGUUAUUUUAAUACGAUACACAAAAUGUAGAUAUGAGAAAGGGAAAGAAGAGGGGAAUGAAAUUAAACGUCUACAUAUUAGAGAUGGUAUCAUGUCCUCUCCUUAUUAUUAUUAUUUAAAAAAAAAUCACAUUAUCUUCCACUGACAGGGGUUCAUUAUAACACCUUGGUUCCUACAGACAGGGGCUGGGGGGGGCAGCACAAUGACUUCCAACAGAACACUACAAAUCUAUUCAAAAACAGUAUAUAUUUUUCAGCACAUUUUCAAAUCACAAAAACAUCCUUUUCUGGAGCCUGCCGUGCGGACGUUCGGCUCCAAUCCUGAUCUUGCCCCCUCCUCAGUUUUAUUCCACUUUUAGCGUCCGUGAGACCCGUUGAGUUUAAAAAUAAAUAAAUCAAAAAGGUUGCUGCAUUCUAAAUUAAAGGAAUAACACAUGGAAGGCUUGCUUUCCUUAGGAAGCCCGUACAAAACGGCUGGCGGAGAAAAACGAAAAUCACCGAGUGUAUAUAUUUUGGUUGGUUCACCUUCCUAAGGCUAGAUAGAAAACACGGAGCGUACAAUUUCUCUCAGAAGAGGAAUAACAAACAAA